rnacentral:rRNA from 1 species
CACGCAGGCGGUCUGUCAAGUCGGAUGUGAAAUCCCCGGGCUCAACCUGGGAACUGCAUUCGAAACUGGCAGGCUAGAGUCUUGUAGAGGGGGUAGAAUUCCAGGUGUAGCGGUGAAAUGCGUAGAGAUCUGGAGGAAUACCGGUGGCGAAGGCGGCCCCCUGGACAAAGACUGACGCUCAGGUGCGAAAGCGUGGGAGCAAACA